rnacentral:rRNA from 1 species
CAGGGAAUCGUACACAAUGGACGAAAGUCUGAUGUCGCAAUGCCGCGUGGAGGAUGAAGGCCUUCGGGUCGUAAACUCCUUUUACAGUAAUUGAGAAGUUAUUGAGAAUAAGCACCUGCUAACUCUGUGCCAGCAGCCGCGGUAAUACAGAGGGUGCAAGCGUUAUCCGGAUUUAUUGGGCGUAAAGCGUUUCGUAGGUCUCUAGAUAAGUUAGUCUUCAAAGACCACGGCUCAACCGGGGGAAGGGACUAAUACUGUCUUGGAUUGAAAUAUGAUGGGGCUUCUGGAACUGAUGGUGUAGUAGUGAAAUACGUUGAUAUCAUCAGGAACUCCGAGGGCGAAGGCAGGAAGCUAAUCAUUUUUGACACUGAGGAACGACAGCUAGGGAGCGAAAGGGAU